rnacentral:ribozyme from 1 species
CAUAAUAAUAAUAGAAAUAAUAAUAAUGAGAGAAAGACAAAAAGAAAGAGAAAGAGAAAGUGGGGGGUGAUCUAACAGAGGGAGUUAUACAUGUUUGUGUUUGGGGUGUUGUUUUUUUGUUUUCUUUUUUUUUUUUCUCUCUCUUGUU